GGGAGCCACUCCUAAAUCAAUCAGGUCAAACAUCUGGCUCAGGGACUCAUUCAGACAUCUGGAGCUCACGGAUGAGAGAGAAGUAUGGAUUGAACAGCGGUGAUAAAACUAAAACACUGAAUCAGAAUGCAUCAAUGAGCAUGAAAUCCAAGUAAUUCAGAUCAGAGAAGCUGUGUCCCUCAAGGCAAAUAAAAGGAGUCUCACGCCGUUACCAACGUGUAUAUUGUUGCUUUUAGUCACAUUAGUGUCGGUGUUUCCUGGAGGAAGCUGUGAUGUGUAUAGGUUAAGUUGUUUUGUACUGAUUGGGUAACAUUCUCUGUAAAGGCUGAAAUGCUGUACUUCUAAUAUCAUGUUCUGGUCAUCAUCAUUAGCCAAUGAUUUGAUGUCGACAUUUACCAUUGCUGAAACGAACACAGAGUUCAUUUC
rnacentral:misc_RNA from 1 species